AUUGAACGCUGGCGGCAGGCCUAACACAUGCAAGUCGAGCGGGGUUUUCGGACCUAGCGGCGGACGGGUGAGUAAUGCGUAGGAAGCUGCCCGAUAGAGGGGGAUACCAGUUGGAAACGACUGUUAAUACCGCAUAAUGUCUACGGACCAAAGUGUGGGACCUUCGGGCCACAUGCUAUCGGAUGCGCCUACGUGGGAUUAGCUAGUUGGUGAGGUAAUGGCUCACCAAGGCGACGAUCUCUAGCUGGUUUGGGAGGAUGAUCAGCCACACUGGAACAGAGACACGGUCCAGACUCCUACGGGAGGCAGCAGUGGGGAAUAUUGGACAAUGGGCGCAAGCCUGAUCCAGCCAUGCCGCGUGUGUGAAGAAGGCCUUCGGGUUGUAAAGCACUUUCAGCGAGGAGGAAGGGGUGUGUGUUAAUAGUACACACCUUUGACGUUACUCGCAGAAGAAGCACCGGCUAACUCUGUGCCAGCAGCCGCGGUAACAC
rnacentral:rRNA from 1 species